AAUCAGCAAGGGAUCAAAUACUUUUUACUCUCACUGUAAGAAUCCCAAUCACUAUCAGAAUUCUGUCCAAAACGUGAUUCCGUAUUGAGACUGGUCUAAUCACUGCUGCGCACGUGAACGAAAUUGAUACCUGGAUUGUUACAUGGGAACUACUGGUUCAGUCUCGGCAGAUUCCAAGAAAAUCGGCUGAUUUUUGAUUUUCCCAUCAAUUUAUGGCCUUUUGGAUCAGCUAUGGUUCGAAAACAUGGUCACUCAACAUAAUGAUUGUUGCUUUGUACAAGGAAAAAAGUCUGGUUUAGGGACAUUGAAUUUGCUUUAAUAAUUGGAAGUGACCUUUACAUUAACUACAGUCCCAAAUGCCAUGAACUCCUCCUGUAGGUGCCUGUCAUCCAAAUUCCUCAACAGUAGUUUGCAUGGCUACAGAAAGGGGCAGAGUCAACAUCCAGUGUAUUAAUUAAAGCCUCACUCGCAACCCGCCGUAAGUGUUUUGGACACACAUGGGUCGCACGGUUUGGUAGCUCGCAGCCGUACCGCAGGGUCACGGUGAACCCAGGGGAAAGUUUGGGGGAGGAGUACGGGCAAAAUACUUGUCAAGUACAGGUUGCACACCUGAUUUCCUCGAGGUGUGGGAAAAAUUGUGCCGUUAGCCCGUGGAAAGCGUAUAUCUGAUGCACGUGUUCAGUGAGUGUGUGAGACUUGCAUUUUACCAGUUUCCUGCGCUACGAGUUCAGGCCGCACUUGUGAAGCGUGUAUGACGCAUGUGAUUAGCACGUUACAAUCACUCGUAUCUUGCGUGUGACGUAAGCCAGGAGUGGGUAUAAAACCAGCGUGUCUGCAGCAUUCUGCAUCUGUCUUUCGACUGAAGAACAUUUGGAUAUUUUGUGGGAAAAUUAAAAAAAUUUUCAGUUUAAAGUUUACAAAAUGGGACCCAAGAAGAAGUGAGCAAAAGUGAAGUAACCAAGCCUGAAACAGCAGAGGAGAAGGAGGAAGAAUUUGAUGAUGGAAGCAGUACUGGUGAGCCAUGCAUGGACAGGGAGAAAUGUGCCUUCAAGCUGGCAGAAGGCACAGCAUCCCGCCAGAGGUAUUUUCACAGCUAACAACGCCCAGAAGUGAGGACAUUGCAAUCCCAUCAUCGCUGUCAGGCCAUUGUGCUAUGCUCAGUGAUAAGGACAAGAACAUCCCGACACCCCGUCCCACCACUCAGUAGGAGCAGGACAGUAGCUCGGAGUCAAAGUGUGUUUCAGUGCUCAAACCGUUGGGCUAUUUAGUUGGGAUUUUUUACAAUGUAAUAAAAUGCGUUAUUCCCUUAUACUCAUGUUUUAUUAUUUGACAUUUGCAUAGUAAAUUAAACAUAUACUCAAAUAAAAA